rnacentral:misc_RNA from 1 species
AAAAGCGAGUCUCGCGACUCUCAAACCCUAUGUGAACUUAUUCAUGUCUGAGCUGCUUCGGCAGGGCGUUUCGAAAGAAGCACCUGCCGGCCGGCUCGCCAACCAAACUCUUUGUUAAUCUAUGGACCUCUGAGUUAAAAACAAAAUUUAUUA